rnacentral:rRNA from 1 species
GAUGAACGCUGGCGGCGUGCCUAAUACAUGCAAGUCGAGCGAACAGACGAGGAGCUUGCUCCUCUGACGUUAGCGGCGGACGGGUGAGUAACACGUGGAUAACCUACCUAUAAGACUGGGAUAACUUCGGGAAACCGGAGCUAAUACCAGAUAAUAUAUUGAACCGCAUGGUUCAAUAGUGAAAGACGGUUUUGCUGUCACUUAUAGAUGGAUCCGCGCCGCAUUAGCUAGUUGGUAAGGUAACGGCUUACCAAGGCAACGAUGCGUAACCGACCUGAGAGGGUGGUCGGCCACACUGGAACUGAGACACGGUCCAGACUCCUACGGGAGGCAGCAGUAGGGAAUCUUCCGCAAUGGGCGAAAGCCUGACGGAGCAACGCCGCGUGAGUGAUGAAGGUCUUCGGAUCGUAAAACUCUGUUAUUAGGGAAGAACAAAUGUGUAAGUAACUAUGCACGUCUUGACGGUACCUAAUCAGAAAGCCACGGCUAACUACGUG